GACCUCGGAUCAGGUAGGGAUACCC
rnacentral:ncRNA from 11 species